AUUGAACGCUGGCGGCAGGCCUAACACAUGCAAGUCGAACGAGUGGCGGACGGGUGAGUAAUGUCUGGGAAACUGCCUGAUGGAGGGGGAUAACUACUGGAAACGGUAGCUAAUACCGCAUACCAUCAGAUGUGCCCAGCUGGGAUUGGCUAGUUGGUGGGGUAACGGGUCACCAAGGCGACGAUCCCUAGCUGGUCUGCGGGGAUGACCAGCCGACCUGGAACGGAGGGACGGUCCAGCCGCCAAGGGGAGGACGCGGUGGUGAAUAUUGCACAAUGGGCGAAUGCCUGAUCCAGCCAUGCCGCGUGUGUGAAGAGGGUCUGCGGGUUGUAAAGCACUUUAAGUUGGGAGGCGUUACCAACAGAAUAAGCACCGGCUAACUUCGUGCCAGCAGCCGCGGUAAUAC
rnacentral:rRNA from 1 species